rnacentral:rRNA from 1 species
ACGCUCGACACUACGAGAGGCAGCAGUGGGGAAUAUUGCACAAUGGGGGAAACCCUGAUGCAGCGACGCCGCGUGAGCGAAGAAGUAUUUCGGUAUGUAAAGCUCUAUCAGCAGGGAAGAAGAAAGACGGUACCUGACUAAGAAGCCCCGGCUAACUACGUGCCAGUAGCCGCGGUAAUCUGAGCGGGCGUGGCAAGGC